rnacentral:rRNA from 1 species
CGGCAACAGCCUAAAACUCAAAGGACUUGGCGGUGCUUUACACCCUUCUAGAGGAGCCUGUUCUAUAAUCGAUAAACCCCGAUAGACCUCACCAAUUCUUGCUAAUACAGUCUAUAUACCGCCAUCUUCAGCAAACCCUAAAAAGGAACAAAAGUAAGCACAAUCACAACACAUAAAAACGUUAGGUCAAGGUGUAACCUAUGAAAUGGGAAGAAAUGGGCUACAUUUUCUACUGCAAGAA